rnacentral:rRNA from 1 species
CCUACGGGUGGCAGCAGUGAGGAAUAUUGGUCAAUGGGCGAGAGCCUGAACCAGCCAAGUCGCGUGAGGGAAGACGGUCCUAUGGAUUGUAAACCUCUUUUGUCGGGGAGCAAAAAGGCCUCGUGAGGCCACAAGUGAGAGUACCCGAAGAAAAAGCAUCGGCUAACUCCGUGCCAGCAGCCGCGGUAAUACGGAGGAUGCGAGCGUUAUCCGGAUUUAUUGGGUUUAAAGGGAGCGUAGAUGGGUUGUUAAGUCAGUUGUGAAAGUUUGCGGCUCAACCGUAAAAUUGCAAUUGAUACUGGCAGUCUUGAGUACAGUUGAGGUAGGCGGAAUUCGUGGUGUAGCGGUGAAAUGCUUAGAUAUCACGAAGAACCCCGAUUGCGAAGGCAGCUUACUAAACUGUGACUGACAUUGAUGCUCGAAAGUGUGGGUAUCAAACAGGAUUAGAUACCCUUGUAGUC